rnacentral:miRNA from 1 species
AAGUUUGAAAUGGAUUGACU